rnacentral:rRNA from 1 species
UACGUAGGGCGCGAGCGUUGUCCGGAAUUAUUGGGCGUAAAGAGCUCGUAGGCGGUCUGUUGCGUCCGCUGUGAAAGCCCGGGGCUUAACCCCGGGUCGGCAGUGGAUACGGGCAGGCUAGAGGUAGGUAGGGGAGAAUGGAAUUCCCGGUGUAGCGGUGAAAUGCGCAGAUAUCGGGAGGAACACCGGUGGCGAAGGCGGUUCUCUGGGCCUUACCUGACGCUGAGGAGCGAAAGCGUGGGGAGCGAACAGG